ACUCCUACGGGAGGCAGCAGUGGGGGAUAUUGCACAAUGGAGGAAACUCUGAUGCAGCGACGCCGCGUGAGGGAAGAAGGUCUUCGGAUUGUAAACCUCUGUCUUCAGGGACGAAACAAAUGACGGUACCUGAAGAGGAAGCCACGGCUAACUACGUGCCAGCAGCCGCGGUAAU
rnacentral:rRNA from 1 species